UACGCAGGCAGCAAGCGUUGUUCGGAUUUACUGGGCGUAAAGAGUGUGUAGGUGGUGCUCUAAGUUUGGUGUGAAAUCUCCUGGCUUAACCGGGAGGGUGCGCUAAAUACUGGGGUGCUCGAGGGUGGGAGAGGUAAGCGGAAUUCCUGGUGUAGCGGUGAAAUGCGUAGAUAUCAGGAGGAACACCUGUGGUGUAGACAGCUUACUGGACCAUUUCUGACACUGAGACACGAAAGCGUGGGUAGCAAACAGG
rnacentral:rRNA from 1 species